rnacentral:rRNA from 1 species
CACGUAGGGGCCAAGCGUUGUCCGGAUUUAUUGGGCGUAAAGAGCUCGUAGGCGGCUCGGUAAGUCAGGUGUGAAACCUCCAGGCUCAACCUGGAGACGCCACCUGAUACUGCUGUGGCUAGAGUCCGGUAGGGGAGCGUGGAAUUCCUGGUGUAGCGGUGAAAUGCGCAGAUAUCAGGAGGAACACCAGCGGCGAAGGCGGCGCUCUGGGCCGGAACCGACGCUGAGGAGCGAAAGCGUGGGUAGCAAACAGG